GUACCUUGGGCCUGAUCCAAAGCCCACAGAAGCCAAUAGGUGUCUUUCCAUUGACUUUAAUGGGAUUUGGAUCAGGACCCUAGGGAU
rnacentral:pre_miRNA from 1 species